CGUUCCCUGCGGUGUCCGACAGCACGCUAUUAGCAUUUGCCUUGCUCCUGUUGAACGACCCCGGGUCGGCAAAAUGGCUUCCCCAUGUGCAUGUCCGCCACGCGCGGAAAGCCUGAACGGUCGCCUGAGCCCUCCCACCUGAUCCCUGGGAUCAAGGUCGCCUGGCGGGCACCGGCACCGCGGAGAACGC
rnacentral:other from 1 species